UCUUUCCUCCCCAGAGCUGGAAGUUGGCGC
rnacentral:piRNA from 1 species